CAAAAGGACUCAGAUUGUAAUGCUAGGGCUUCCAGCACAGUAUAGCUGAGGACCUGGCUGUAGAGCUGCCUCCUCCGAGGCAUACAAGAAGAGUCUUUAUUUUUGAACAUUCUCUUACAUAGAGAUUCUGGAUACAGUACAAGGUCCUCCCAUCUUCUUGCUUUCACCUGACAGAUGAUACAGAAACAUGAUCAUUAUGAUUUCCAAUGACUCAUGCUCAGCAGCACAAAGUCAAAUUGAUUACCAAACCAUCCUCCAGGAAAUACUGGCCCUGAUCUGAACAUGCAUGGAAAGCCUCAAUUACAAGCUUCACCCCUCUGCUUUGAAAACAUGGUGAUGGCCACCCAGUAUGAAGAAGGCUUCACCAAUGUCAACAGCUGGAUAUUUUUAUUGUUGUAUCCUUUAUGGUCAUUACCCAUUGAAGUCUGAUUUAGUAAGAAGAAUGUGAGCCACUCUUUAUUAGGUGUAAAUUGUGUAUUACUGCAUCAAGAGAAUGAUGUCGAUUUACAUGGGAUCAUGGCUUGGCUCACUCAAGCUCUGCUCCACUUCACUGGACUCCUUUGGAACUGCAAAGUGGCAUCCUACUGAUUUCUUCUGCAACUCUAUUCUUCACAUCUCCCAGGCCCGGUGUUUGUGUUUCCUGAUCUUAAAGCACAAUGUCUUAAUUAUGGUCAGAGAAAAGACAUAAGGAAAAGGAAUGUCCUGAUUUGUCUUUUAACUGCAGUUCUUACUGGUAUUUAUUUCAAAGUGCAAUUACAGGAACGGAAAUGACUAUGCAAAAAUGGCCUUUUCCUACUAACAAUCUCAGCUGCUUGUGUACAUUUUAGUAAAAUCUGCAGACUUUUGUUGACAUAAGUUUUAUUGCAGGUCAUAUUUAUUUUCCAGUCUCUAUUACAAAAUAGCCUUGCAGGAAAGCCUCUUCAGGGAGAGGAGAAGGGUAAAGAACCAGAGGGGCCAGCGGUGCAGAAGUCACUUCUGUCAGUUGCUUCUCUUGUGUCAGGCAGCCGUUGCUGCCGAAACUGUUAGCUUCUCCUGCCCCCUCGUGCAGGCUUGUGAACACUGCCAGCGACUUUCUCUGGCAGAAAUCUGCCAGAGAAACUGCAAAAUAGAAUAAAUGAACGCAAGACCUUCAGGAUAUAGCAGUUUUGUGAAGGAAUCUCUUUGAUAACCAAUGGGAAGACAGCUAUCCAGUCCUGCACAGGAGAAUCUCCCAGGCCAUCAGGAAAGUCAAGAUAUUUCUUGAAAACUUGGUUCUGCAGGCUGUAGGAAGCAGAGGCCUCUGAAAACAUGUUCAGAUUUGAAGCUAAGUGUGUCCAAACAUGUAAUCUGAGGAAUGGUAUCUUUGUUUUCUUCAGGAAUUAAGUGUGGAACAGUCAGCUGAGCCUUCCUGCCUUCCUCCUUGUCUCUGCAGGGCAGCAGUGAGCAGCUCUCCCUCCCCCUGCUCAACAUCUGUUUGCUGGCAUCUGGCUGGGUCCCGCUGUCACCUGGUGCUCUUUAUCCGAUCAUCUUGUAUCCAGAUGUCUCAGGCUAGACAUCUGUUCUGCUGCCCUAUGCCUCUCACUGUGCUGCAUUUUUAAUUUUUUUAUUUUAUUUUUAGUGCCACUAAUUGAAAAAAAUGUCAGGACAAAUAUCAAACAGUGUCUCAGAAACAGCAUGGUUGUGCUUUUGCACUGAUAUUUCAAUGCACAGUUUUAUGUAUCUAUACGAAUCCUAGACCAUGUUCAGAAGACUUUUUGUUUUGGUUUUGGCAGUGCUAUCUUAGGCAAAAGUUCACUAAGGUUAGUGGGAGUUCAUCUGAGCAGAGAAUGAAUACCACUAAAAUCAGGACUGUGAUAAUCGGUCUUUUUUUUUUUCUACCCUAGUACAAUCAGGAUCAGAGUGGAUUGAUCCAUGUUCCAAAAAUACCAUAGCAUAAAAUAGUGAACAAAGGCAGCAAAAACCUUCUUUUUGAGGGCCAAGCAGUUUUAGGACACAGGUCAGGUUAGAUAACUGAUGCUAUCAAGCAAACACAUAGCUAUGUUUGAUGCAGUCUUAUAUAUCCUUACAUUUUGGGUGCACUUGAGCUGCCUUGGAAAAAACAGCAGUGGUAAUACUCAAAAGUAGAUAGAUAGGAUAAGAGGAACAGUCAGGAUUACAAUUCUAUGUCUUUUCUAGAGGUUUUGUAGGUUUGAGGCCUUUUUGGAGGCCUUUUUCAUCUUGCAUUGCGUAGGAGCAGUCCAAAAAACCUCCCACUGGGAGGAAACAAAGGGAGGGAAGUGCUGCUGCUAUUAUUGAGAACAGACCCUUGAGAGCAGAUAUGUAGGGUCCCAAAUUCUCUAAACUGUCUUUGCUUACUGGAAAACCUAGCUGUAAGUUACAGGGCACCAUCUUGUUGUGGGAAAAACUAUAAUAAAGACAGGCCCACAAGAAAAAUCUGCCAACAGUUGUUAAACACAAGGAUAUAGCCCUCUGUGUCAAGAAGUCCCUAAGGUAUGGAUUUCUGAAGCCAAUAAUUUUCCCAGGGAAGGUAUAACAGUAAGCUUGCUCUGCCACUCCUCUACCUAAGUGCCUACAACCACUGCCAGGAACUAGGGAAUCAGCUAGAUGCAUCUUUGUUCUGAUCCUGCAGUUCUGUUCUUAUGGAGUCUCUUCAUCUGAAACACAAUGGGAACAAAUAAACUGUGAUCUAGAAGGAAAGAAAUUAGGAAUAGAGAGUAAUUUGUACACUUUUUCCAGCACUGAGUAGAGUUGGCUGCAAAUGUAUAAGUAGAGAAUUAUAAAUAAAUAAAUAAAUAUAUAAAAAAGAAAAGCCAAGAAUGGAUUCAUUAGAUCCAAAUUUUAAAUAAUUCAACCUAGAACGAUAAUGUUGUUGUUGUAGUGUUAUUGCAACUUUUUUUAAGGCCUCAAUUAAGCCUUGAGAAAGGGAGCCAAUGCACCUUUAAAACUUUCUGCUUAAUCAACUAUAGCGAAUGCUCAUUUAAUGAUUGUCUUUUUGUACCAACAAGAAGUAACAACGCUUUUAGCAAAAGAAAUGGAAUGAGAGAGAAAUUGCCUAAUCAGCCCUACUCAUGCAGUGCUUUGUGAGACAGAUUAUUGAAUUUUCAGUCUCUGCAGAAUUUUAAUGAAGCUCCGUCUUGCUGGAAAAUCCAGCCCUUUGUCAAUAAAGUUCAAUAACUCGACCACCCAUGUAAUAAGAUGUACCGGCUGAAAUCUUUCACUUGCCAAAGCCAGAACCCUGCUGGAAUCUCCCUGAGAGUUAGAAGUACUUACUUGUGUUGUGUAUUUUCCUACGGUCUGCUUGCAGUGGUAUUUAUAUUUACUGUAGUGAAAGUCUGUUUACAGUGAGGUAGAGAAGAAAUUCACAUUUGUCUCAGU